AUUGAACGCUGGCGGCAUGCUUUACACAUGCAAGUCGAACGGUAACAGGCCGCAAGGUGCUGACGAGUGGCGAACGGGUGAGUAAUGCAUCGGAACGUGCCCAGUCGUGGGGGAUAACGCAGCGAAAGCUGCGCUAAUACCGCGUACGAUCUAUGGAUGAAAGCGGGGGACCGUAAGGCCUCGCGCGAUUGGAGCGGCCGAUGUCAGAUUAGGUAGUUGGUGGGGUAAAGGCUCACCAAGCCAACGAUCUGUAGCUGGUCUGAGAGGACGACCAGCCACACUGGGACUGAGACACGGCCCAGACUCCUACGGGAGGCAGCAGUGGGGAAUUUUGGACAAUGGGCGCAAGCCUGAUCCAGCAAUGCCGCGUGCAGGAAGAAGGCCUUCGGGUUGUAAACUGCUUUUGUACGGAACGAAACGGUCUGGGUUAAUACCUCGGGCCAAUGACGGUACCGUAAGAAUAAGCACCGGCUAACUACGUGCCAGCCGCCGCCGUAAGAC
rnacentral:rRNA from 1 species